GAUGAACGCUGGCGGCGUGCCUAAUACAUGCAAGUCGAGCGAACAGAUGAGGAGCUUGCUCCUCUGACGUUAGCGGCGGACGGGUGAGUAACACGUGGAUAACCUACCUAUAAGACUGGGAUAACUUCGGGAAACCGGAGCUAAUACCGGAUAAUAUAUUGAACCGCAUGGUUCAAUAGUGAAAGACGGUUUUGCUGUCACUUAUAGAUGGAUCCGCGCCGCAUUAGCUAGUUGGUAAGGUAACGGCUUACCAAGGCAACGAUGCGUAGCCGACCUGAGAGGGUGAUCGGCCACACGGGAAAUGAGACACGGUCCAGACUCCUAGGGGAGGCAGCAGUAGGGAAUCUUCCGCAAUGGGCGAAAGCCUGACGGAGCAACGCCGCGGGAGUGAUGAAGGUCUUCGGAUCGUAAAACUCUGUUAUUAGGGAAGAAAAAAUGUGUAAGUAACUAUGCACGUCUUGACGGUACCUAAUCAGAAAGCCGCGGCUAACUACGU
rnacentral:rRNA from 1 species